rnacentral:rRNA from 1 species
ACUACGGGGGGCAGCAGUGGGGGAUAUUGGACAAUGGGGGGAACCCUGAUCCAGCGACGCCGCGUGAGUGAAGAAGUAUUUCGGUAUGUAAAGCUCUGUCAGCAGGGAAGAAAGCAAUGACGGUACCUGACCAAGAAGCCCCGGCUAACUACGGGCCAGCAGCCGCGGUAAUACGGAGGGGGCAAGCGUUAUCUGGAAUUACUGGGUGUAAAGGGAGCGUAGACGGCUGUGCAAGUCUGGGGUGAAAGUCGGGGGCUCAACCCCAGGACUGGUCUGGAGACUGUAUGGCUGGAGUGCAGGGGAGGUAGGCGGAAUUCGUGGUGUAGCGGUGAAAUGCGUAGAUAUUAGGAGGAACACCGAUGGCGAAGGCGGCUUACUAAACUGUAACUGACAUUGAGGCUCGAAAGGGUGGGUAGCAAACAGGAGUAGAUACCCUGGUAGUC